UUUUAAUUUAAAAAAGAUGGAAAAAAUGAAGAAAAACAUUUUCAAAUUUUCAUUUUUUUUUAAAAAAAAACACGCAUUCGAAAAACGGCUCGAAAUGUUUUUGCCAAAAAUUUUAAUAUACAAGAUGUAAAUAUCUUUAAUAAAUUAUCAAAAUAUUGGGAACUUUUACCAUCCUGUAUUCUUUUAAAUCAUUGAUUUUCGUACCCUAUCCGACGAUCAAAAUGUGACGUCAAAGUGUGCGUUUUCAAGAAAAAACGCGUGGAUUCGAAAUUGUUUGAAAAUUGUAAUAGCUGAAGAACGUUAAAGCAUGACGUCAUUACGGAACAAACAGUGCAACCGUUCAAAAUGGCUGCGACAAGGAGGAGUAGGAGUGUAAAUGGGAGGUUUAGAAAAUCUAACGAUACAAAAAAUAGAUUUUUAAACUUGAAAAAUAUAAAUAAAGAGAAGCAUUCCUAUCUCGAAGGAAGGAGGAUAAUAGAUUUGAAUUAUUUCGGAAAAAAAAUAUGAUUCUGGAUGUGUAUCUUGUAGUGAGACAUUCAAAUGGUGUAACAUUAUUAAGGAGACCGUUUUCGGCUAUGCCAGUGUAUUCCAUUUCAAAUGUUCAAACUAUGGAGAAAUAUCGAAACUUUGUACAUCGGAUAUGCAAAGAAUUCCAGGAACUGAAUACAAAAAUCAGAGAAAACCGUACUCUGUUAAUGUGAAAGCAGCAUUAGCUAUGAUCCACGGUGGUGUAGGCGAAACUCACAUGAACGCGAUAUUCACUACACUGGGAAUACCGCCAGUUCAUUAUAGAACAUUGAAGAAACGAGAACGUGAUGUUGGAACGGAAAUGGAAGCUGCUAAGUUAUCGUGCCGUGUAGCCAGUGAAGAAGAGAGAAGAAGUAUUAUGAAUUCCCAAAAUUUAAAUGAAAGGUUAGAAAAUCAUGUACAUACAGAGAGCCAUUUUGAAAAUGAACAGAUGACAUUCGAUCAAGCCCUGGAAUUUCUAGAAAGCAAAGAAGAAGCCGAUGAAGUAGCAGAUGAGUACGGCAGUGUUCGCGGAGAUACGCGAGAAAUGAAUCACGGAGAAUCACGUGACUGUGAAGAAGAAUUUCGUGACUACAGUGAAAUCACACGAGGUUAUAAUACAGCAGAUUCGUGCAAGUGUAGUAGUGUCGACAAUGUCUUACAGGAAGACUUUUCCACAGGCGAAGCCGAUGAAGUAGCAGAUGAGUACGGCAGUGUUCGCGGAGAUACGCGAGAAAUGAAUCACGGAAAAUCACGUGACUGUGAAGAAGAAUUUCGUGACUACAGUGAAAUCACACGAGGUUAUAAUACAGAAGAUUCGUGCAAGGGUAGUCGUGUCGACAAUGCCUUACAGGAAUACUUUUCCACAGGCGUUAAAUGUCAGAUUUUUCUUUAAAAUUACUUCCAAUUUCUUAACUUCUUACUUCCCUCUCCUAACUUCCGCACUUCUGACUUCUAACUUCCACACUUUUGACUUCUAACUUCCUGACUUCCAACUUCCAACUUCCGCACUUCUGACUUCCAACUUUCCCUCUUUGGAAGUCGGAAGUAAGAAGAGUGGAAGUUGGAAGUCGGAAGUAAGAAGUGCGGAAGUUAGAAGUCAGAAGUACAGAAGUUAGAAGAAGGAAGUAAGAAGUCCAGAAGUCGGAAGUAAGAAGUGUGGAAGUUGGAAAUCGGAAGUCAAAAGUCAGGAAGUUGGAAGCCAGAAGUGUGGAAGUUAGAAGUCAGAAGUGCAGAAGUUAGAAGUAGGAAGUAGGAAGUCAAGAAGUUGGAAGUGAGAAGUGCCAAAGUUAGAAGUCAGAAGUGGGAAGUACGGAAAUCAAUUGUCCCUCCAGGGCUACCAUAGUUAAACGAUCCGGAUGGCAGUUAGUAGUAGUUUAUAUGUGUACGUUUGCCUGUGCUAGUAAUGGUUCGUUUAUUUUAUUGAACAUUAAAGAUGUGCGGUGUUCCUUUCAGUUUCAGUUCACGCUUACUAUAACAUUGAACAAUAAAUGUCAGGCGUCAGCGUAAUGUACAUUUGUAAACAACAGACUUUAAAAAAUAUGUCUAGUUCAAAUUAUUAUUUGCGACUUUUUUCUCAACAGGACAAAACGAUUCGGAUAAAGGUACUUGCAAGAAAGAAGGUAACAUUUGUACAAUAAACUCUUGUACCAAAUGCGAUGAAGGUGACUCACCUUUCUUACUUUGUGCAAAAGAUAUACCAGAAGCAACUCCAUUCCAGUCUGAAUUAAAAAAUCAGUCACAUUUUCAAGACAUGAAUAUUGUAGACGCAACACUAAGUUAAGACGCAGCAUGGCCUAAAAGAAGUAGGGGAAUGAACAGUUUGUCUGGUUUACAUUGGAAUCUGCGGCAAAAGACCAAGUACUCUGACAAUAAUUCUACAAUUAUAUGUAACAAAAACAUAUAGCAGACACUUCAUCUGUCUCAUUUGAUUUCGGAAAAAAAAGUGUUUUGCCCAAUAUUUGUUUCAGACUGUACCAGUUAAGUGUUACAGAGUUCCGAAAUGUCUUUUAUAUAAACUAGAAUAUAAGAUUUACUGAAGCACCUUUCCCUGUAUAGUGCCAUGUACAAAGUGGCAUGUCACUUUUAUCUACAUUAACUAAGAGAAGAAUUACAAAAUGAAGGGUUGGAAAUAUAUUUUAGUGUCGUAUAAUGACUUUAUGAAUUCAUUAUACUUAUUUAGAUAAGCACAUUUUAUCAUCUUGUUUUUCGGUCAGCAAAAUGUCAUCGGUCAGUAAAAAGUCAUACACAAAGAAUUUCGGAAUGCUACUUUAAAUAACUUCAGCGUUUGUUUACAUCUGGAAAAUGACAGGUUAAGAUAUCUCGUCCAGGUUAAUUACCCUCUGGCCACGUUAUUCGCUGCGUCAUGAUUGUUGUUUUGUUUCUAACUAAUUGUAAUGACAGAUGACUAAAUGAAAUAAUGACAUGUUUUUAUUAUUAUGGUCAAAAUGCGUGCCCUUUUGGAGAAAAACAAUUUAGUCAUCCCUACGAAGUUUUCCUUAAAUACCGCUAAAUUCUAGAUAGAACUUCAGUAUCAAUCCGCCCGUGCUAAUGUUAGUAACGUAUGCCGAUACUCCAUACGAUUUAAGAUAGUUUAGAGCCGGGGCAAUUAGCAAUGAAUUAUUAUUGUUAGAGUUAGACAUUAAUGAAAUAAUAGAGAUUAUGUUAGGAAAUUGUGAAGGAAGACAUUGUUGUAUUAACUCAGAACAUAGUACUAUAUUAAACAGUAGUUAUCAUAGAGAACAGAGUUGUUGUUGUUGUAGUUAGAAUAGUGAACUUUAGACCCUGUUACACCACAUUAGUAACCCCUAAAACAAGUUAAUGUUUAUAACACUGCAUAUUUUGCUUAAUGUACUUUCAUAUCGGGGGAUGAAUACGAAAGAGGCCAAAGUGCAUAUAAAUAAAGAAACACUUAGACUUCUUUUGCAUUCACCCCUCGAUAUGCUUUCCACCUAACAAUAUAAUAUAUAUGUGACCCAUAAGGGCCCCUUAUUGUUUUCUAUAUGGGGGUCACAUGGGAUUUGCAAACGGGUUUGGCAUGGGUCCCACAUGGGUUUCAAAAUAAAUACAUUGGUGUAUGUUAUCGACAUUGUAUAUUGGUUCAAUAUGGGUCUGAUGUGGGCAGUACUUACAAUAAAGUUAUGAAUUGUUUAUAAGGUUUACGUCAGUGCACAUAUAAACUGCACCUUUUAUAGAAUAAAAAGCUCAUUGCAUAUAUAAAGUUAGUAUUGGGCAUGUAUAUUUUUUGUCAGUUAUGGUCCGUAAUUUUUAAUUAACAUAAUGUUGACCGUUUAUCCAAUAUUGGGGGCAAGUUGUACGCACGCUUUAAUUUGCAGAAAUGAAAAUGAUAAAAAGUAAGAUAUUUAUUUUAAAUCAUAUCCACAAAAUAGUGCAUUUUUUGCAAUAACCUUCUUGAUUGUAAAACAGUUUUAUAUUGUAUUCAUUGGCUUAAAGGUUUAAACGAUUUGAUGAAAAGAGGGGACGGAAUAAUUAUUUGAGCCGUGCCAUGAGGAAACCAACAUCCGCGCAGUUUGGUCAGGAUCCAUGCUGUUCGCUAACAGUUUCUAUAAUUGCAAUAGGCUUUGAAAGCGAACAUCAUGGAUCCUGACCAGACUGCGCGGAUGCGGAGGCUGGUCUGGAUCCAUGCUGGUCGCAAACCCACUAUGUUGGUUUUCUCAUGGCGUGGCUCAUUUAUUAAAAAUGAAAUGCAACUGAACAUUCUAAACGACACGUAUUUCUGGUUUUCAAUCAGGAUGCAUAAAUAAUAUAAUCUCUCUAACUUUGUGACGGUGAAUGAGUUCGUAUUGAUUGGUCGUAAAAUUCGGUUAUAUCGGUCCAAUAAAAAUGCAUGUACUUUAAGAAAAUUAAAUGUAGUCAACAACAACAAAAUAUGUUCAAAUUAAAUUUAGUCAACAACAACAAAAUAUUUUCUCAUUCACUAGUUCCCUUGCUUUUGAAAUAGACUUUAAGACAAAAUGAUAGCGUUACCGGUCACGUAGUCCAUCCAUUUUUCCAAAUAUAUUCGUCCCCAAAAUGGGUCUACGUAUGAAAUUAUAAUUAAAGCGUAGUAACCUUAUCUAUACUGUCGAUAAUUUAACCUUUCAUUUUACCUUUAUAUUUUUAAUAAACCUGAACAUAUUGAAAGAUAGAAAAAUAAAUAUACGAUUAGGCAGUCUCCUUAUGUUAAUUAUUCUUUAUUUUAGAGUAGACGAUUAAAUAUAUAUGAGCCAUGCCAUGAGAAAACCAACAUAGUGGGUUUGCGACCAGCAUGGAUCCAGACCAGCCUGCGCAUCCGCGCAGUCUGGUCAGGCUCCAUGCUGUUCGCUUUUAAAGCCUAUUGGAAUUGGAGAAACUGUUAGCGAACAGGAUGGAUCCUGACCAGACUGCGCGGAUGCGCAGGCUGGUCUGGAUCCAUGCUGGUCGCACACCCACUAUGUUGGUUUUCCCACGGCACGGUUCAUAUAUAUUUAGAUAUAAUAGAAGAAUUAAAUCGUAAUUUGUGCUAACCCUUACAUGUUUACGGUAUGAUAUCCAACAUCACGCACGAUCGCUCAUCAGGGUAUAUUGGCGUGUGUGUAAUAGGAUACUGCAUAAAUAAAUAGUUAGGGUAUUUUACCUAAAAUGUUCUUUUUUUAUAAUAUCCAGUUGUCAAUAUCAUUUUAAAGCGCCCACCCUUUUCUACGAAAAUAUUGUUGACAUGUUUACGUUCGGUCUUGCGGGACUGGUUUGACUGCCUAUAUAAGUAGGGACGAGAGUGUUGUUGUUCAAAGCUUUGUCAAGCAAGCAAUAAAUAUCACGAAAAAGUUAGACAUUUAGAUGAAGCCAACUUUAGGAAUGGAAGAAGGAAAACCAGUUGCAGUUUCAUUUCAAGGGAUGGUGGAGCAGCCAGAGAAACCUAGAAGAAACCGCUUGAUUGCUGGAGUGGCAGUAGGCGUUGUUGCUCUUGUUAUCAUAGCAACUGUUGUUGGCUUGUCCAUGUAUUUUGGCGCAAAGCUGACACGUGACAACUUUCAGG